rnacentral:tRNA from 1 species
GGUCCGUUAGCUCAGUUGGUAGAGCGCUACCUCGACAAGGUAGAUGUCACUGGUUCGAGUCCAGUACGGACCACCA